UACGUAGGGGGCAAGCGUUGUCCGGAAUCAUUGGGCGUAAAGCGCGUGUAGGCGGCUCGAUAAGUCUGCUGUGAAAGUUCAGGGCUCAACCCUGAAAUGCCGGUGGAAACUGUCGGGCUAGAGUCCGGAAGAGGCGAGUGGAAUUCCUGGUGUAGCGGUGAAAUGCGCAGAUAUCAGGAGGAACACCAAUGGCGAAGGCAGCUCGCUGGGGACGGUACUGACGCUGAGACGCGAAAGCGUGGGGAGCAAACAGG
rnacentral:rRNA from 1 species